rnacentral:ncRNA from 1 species
GUCGGCGUCGUGACGCUGCAGACGACGACGGUGCCGGUCGUCAGCGAAUUGCCGGGCCGCACGAGCGCGCUUCUAGAUGCACAAGUGCGCGCGCGUGUCGACGGCAUCGUGCUGCGGUGCGAGUUCACCGAGGGCAGCCUCGUCAAGCAGGGGCAGCGCCUCUACAAGAUCGA